GUGCUUGCUUCAGCCGCACAUACACUAACAUCGGAAUGAGGCAGGGAAGAUUAGCAUGGCCCUGUGCAAGGAUGACACGCAAAUCUGGGAAGCGGUCCAUCUCUGG
ensembl:snRNA U6 U6 spliceosomal RNA